rnacentral:pre_miRNA from 1 species
AAUAGAUGACUCCGUUGAUUUUUUCUCACAUAUUUGACCAUUCGUCUUAUUUAAAAAAUUUACGUAAUUAUAAUUUAUUUUGUUAUGAGUUGUUUUGAGUACUUUAAGUGUGAUUUAUAUCUUAUACAUUUGCAAAAAAAAAUUAAAUAAGACGAAUGGUUAAACAUGUGAGAAAAAGUCAACGGCGUCAUCUAUU